UCCCUGUGGCACUCUCUCUUUCCUUUGUCAAACUUUCCAUCUCUCAACUCCCUGUCUCAUCUCUCUUUAUCUCCAACUCCAUCUUCUAACCAGUUAUGGGGUAAUCCACUGUCAUUCUUCCAGAGGCCCCAUCUUAUGUGACUAGACCCUUCAAGGAUAGGCCACCCCAUCUCUAUGCUCGGACCAUCACUAGCUACUCUCAGGAAUUGUCUCAUGGUCCAGGCUACCCUUUUCACCAUCCAAGCCAGCUCUUACCACAACCACUGCCUCAUCACCCCACUGCCAGUUAGCCCCCGAUUCCUGGACCUUAAGAGUCCCCUGAAGUGACCCCAUCCUUUCCCCCAGGUCCCAGAACCUAUCCAGACCCCAAGAAUGGCCACGGCAUUUCACACAGGUUACAAAAGCUGCAAUAAGCAUUUUUGACUCCAGCCUUCUGCUGCGUGACUCCUCUGUCCCCAUUCCCGGCCACCUUUCCCCUCCCUCCUGCCCACUCACUUGCCCACCAACUGUUUAGCAAAGCAAAACCCCCUUUAUAAAAUGAUUCAUUCAAUAUGACACUCUCAUUUCUCCUGAAGGGUUCGUUUGUACUUUUAGAGCCCCAAACGCAUUCCUUCUUUGGAAAUUUCUUUACACCCUUUACUGAGAAGACCCUGGAUUUUGAGUGUGAAAAAUGGCUGAAUCUACUUCGGAAAAGAAUAAAACCGUUACCCCAGGAUCUCGCAAAGCGAGAAUUGACUGGUAACUGCCAUCACGCUUCCAAGGCUCAUCAUUCACUGGGCUACUGACCUGUCAAUCACUUCUGCUAGGCCAAUGAGCAGCACCCCCUGACACAAACGGAGGUUGGAGGACAGGCCAAUCGCUCCCAGCUAUUUGAGCCAAUGGAGAAGUUCCUGAUGCCCACACCUGCUGGUCUCACCGCUAGGGCCUGGGCAUCACAGGCAGGGGGAAUGGGGAGGGGACGGUAGCGUCAGCCUACACCCACACGCAGGUUAGAGCCUUGGACGGGGAAGCGGAAAAGGCUUAGCAGCUACUAAUGGGUUCUAUUAAUAGUAGUAGUGUUAGGUAGGCUGCACUGGCUGUAUUCUGCCCCCAUGCCUAUCAUUCCCUCACUCUGUGACCCUGGGCGAGUCUCUUCCUCAUCCUGGUGCUCAGUUGCCUUUUCAUAAAGAAAGGGUUGAUUCCCCAUGAUCUGUUGACUCCUUUGCUUUUGGAUAUUUUGGAAGACGCCCUGCGUCACGGGCUAGUUAAUUGUGAACGUCAGGGAAAGCACCAGAGUAGAGAAGCACUUCCAGGAUCCAGAGCCAGGAGGAUGCUCAAAAGGAAGGGAGGAGAGAUGCCCUUCGGCCAAAGGGAGAGCUUGGAGGGUGAGGGGAAGUGGUUGCUUACCAGAAGGGCCUCGGAGUGUGAACUCAAAAGAUAGAGGAUGGCCGAGCGUGGAGGCUCAUGCCUGUAAUUUCAGCACUUUGGGAGGCCGAGGCGGGCAGAUCACUUGAGGACAGGAGUUCGAGACCAGCCUGGCCAAUAUGACGAGACCCCAUCUCUACUAAAAAUACAAAAAUUAGUCAGGCGUCAUAGCAGGCACCUGUAAUCCCAGCUACUUGGCUACUUGGGAGGCUGAGGCAUGAGAAUCACUUGAACCUGGGAGGUGGAGCUGCAGUGAGCCGAGAUUGCACCACUGCACUCCAGCCUGGGCGACACAGUGAGACCCUGUCUUAAAAAAAUAAUAAUAAUAGAGGAAGCGUUUUGGUCCACUGUCCACUCACACAGGGUUAGGCGGAGAGGAAAAAGCUACUGAGACUGAAGAAUGCCCUUUAACCCCACUUACUGGUUGUUUUGAUUCUUUCCUGUAGUUUCCUGAUAAAAGGUCCUUUGGAAACUUUGAUUCUCUUCUCACCAAGUUGAACGGAGAUGUGUUCCCAUAGUAAGAGUGAGGCCCCUGCAUUUGCUGCCCUCGGUUUUCCCAACUAACACCAGGGCCUCCCCCCUGUACCCCAUUCAUAUGCCUCAGAAGCUGACAAUGACUGUUGGGCUUUUCCAAUGAAUACCAGAACACCAUUUCCUGCAGCCUGAAAAGAAGACAGUAUAAUUGUUUGGCAGCAAGAGGCCAAGCAGGAAACUAGAGAUAUGGUGACGGUAGUGGUCCCAGGGAGGAGCUUUAACCUGAGCACCACCCACAGAAGGCAGACCACCCUCCCAGCCGCAGUGCAAAUGAAUGUUGGCCCCCACCCAGGUCCCCAAGUGCUUUCCCAGUCACGCCCCAGCUGCCAGGUUUUUUUCUCCAGGCCUACUACAGAUGGGUUACCCUGACUCCACCCCCAACACCCUCCAAUGAUUAGAACCACUGACUCCUCCCUCCCAUGCCUGCCUCCAUGGCAGGCCCCUGCAGAAACCAAACAUAGUCACCUUAGACUCUGGCAUACUGAGACCAGGGCUUGAUCCUGGCCCCCUUGCCUCCCUGGCAAUUUAUCAUUUAAUAAAAAUAUUGUUAAAAAAUAUUCAUGCGUCUAAAAUAUGUGUAUUGUUUCAGAAUGUAGCAUCAAAUUACAUCCCAGCUACCCGGGAGGCUGAGGCAGGAGA
rnacentral:lncRNA from 10 species